rnacentral:rRNA from 1 species
UACAGAGGUCCCAAGCGUUGUUCGGAUUUACUGGGCGUAAAGGGCGCGCAGGCGGCGCAUCAAGUCAGGCGUGAAAGCCCCGGGCUUAACCUGGGAACUGCGUCUGGGACUGGUGGGCUAGAGAUCGGGAGAGGAGAGUGGAAUUCCCAGUGUAGAGGUGAAAUUCGUAGAUAUUGGGAAGAACACCAGUGGCGAAGGCGGCUCUCUGGACCGAUACUGACGCUGAGGCGCGAAAGCGUGGGGAGCAAACAGG